ACUGAUCUCCGCUUUUUGUGUUGAGAUUUCAUAGCUUUUUAUGGAAACUUGCUCCUGCUGCCACAACUCCUUGCCCGCCAUUGAUGCCCCCUGACCCUGACCAAAUGGGUCAUAUGAGCUACGACUGGAGAAGUGGUCAGAGAAGGCCUCCAUCAAGAGGUUUCCGGUUGCACAAAAGGCGGUUUUCAGUUCUGCGGAACCAAGAGAAGCAUCACGAGUAGCAAUAUCAACGGAAAUAGUUCUCUGGAUGAAAGAAUGGUGUUAGAGGGACGUCGACGACGCAUAUCCGGUUGCAGCUCUAGAUCAUAUAAUGGCUCAAAUUCAUUUUAUUCGGAAGCGAUUUCCGAUUGCUUGGAGUUCAUCAAAAUGUCAGCACUUUCAGCGGAUGGCAACUCGAUCUGUGGCCCAUAGCUAAGCCCAUAAGACUCGAUGCAGAGGUUCUUUCCUUUUCUUGAGCUUUCUGCCUGGACGUUUCUUUCAUUUCAUAGUGAUUGUGGUUUGUUAAAGUGUCCCACAUUGGUAAGAGAUCCUUGUCUUGUACACUUUAUAAGUCAUGGUGUCUCCUUUUCUCUCAAGGCGUUUUUUGAGAGUGAGUAAACUCCAUAGACUUUUACAUGGUAUCAAAGCGGGUUCCUUUGACAAUGAUGGACAUUUUCUUCCUGUUGUUGAACACGUGUUUAGUCAAAUAUGUCACACGUGAGGGGCGUUUUAAAGUGUCUCACAUUGCUAAGAUAUCUUUGUCUUGUACACUUUAUAAGCCAUAGUAUCUCCUCCUCUCUGAAGACGUCUUUUGAGAGUGAGUAAAGCUUAUGAACUUUUA